rnacentral:rRNA from 1 species
AUUGAACGCUGGCGGCAGGCCUAACACAUGCAAGUCGAGCGGGGUUUUCGGACCUAGCGGCGGACGGGUGAGUAAUGCGUAGGAAGCUGCCCGAUAGAGGGGGAUACCAGUUGGAAACGACUGUCAAUACCGCAUAAUGUCUACGGACCAAAGUGUGGGACCUUCGGGCCACAUGCCAUCGGAUGCGCCUACGUGGGAUUAGCUAGUUGGUGAGGUAAUGGCUCACCAAGGCGACGAUCUCUAGCUGGUUUGAGAGGAUGAUCAGCCACACUGGAACUGAGACACGGUCCAGACUCCUACGGGAGGCAGCAGUGGGGAAUAUUGGACAAUGGGCGCAAGCCUGAUCCAGCCAUGCCGCGUGUGUGAAGAAGGCCUUCGGGUUGUAAAGCACUUUCAGCGAGGAGGAAGGGUGGUGUGUUAAUAGCACAUCAUUUUGACGUUACUCGCAGAAGAAGCACCGGCUAACUCUGUGCCAGCCGCCGCGGUAAAAC